CCCGCGCGCUGCUUCCGUGCCCCUGGCACCCCCUGUUAACCGGCUCCUCUCCUCGGCCCCGGGAUCCUGUACUCCUGCCUCUGGGGUUUCUGGCGAGGAGAAGCCGGGAUGCGUGGGGCGAGGAAGGGGACCGGCAGUGGUCUUCCUCGUCCGGGAAAAUCCGCCGUCCUCGUUGUGUUUCGUGGGGGAGAGGGGGAGGAACCAUCCCAUGACUCCUGGAAGGACGGGGCAGCAGGGCAGGUCCGCCGGGAUUAAGUAGUGUCCCUGGUUCCUGGUGUUAGGAUCCGGAGCGAAGCAGGGAUGGGGUAUGGACCGGGCGCGCCAAGGGCCUCUGAAAUAGGAAAGAAACGGCACUGUUUGGUGUGGAGUGUGUGUGCGUGUGUGUGUGUGUGUGUGCGCGCGCGGGCGCACUCACGUGUGUGUGUUGUGUGUACAACUUAGUAUCUAUUGUGGCCAUGCAAGUGGAGUGCAGGGCAAUAAAGUCAUUUGCCCCAUGAACACUUAGGUGAAGUAACUCAGCAGCACCGAGACCGUGAUCCAGAAGCCCUUCUGGGGCGUUAGAACGGUUCGUUGCUCCAUUCACAUUGGCUCAGUUUCUAAAGUUGAGUGUGUGUCUGUGUGUUCGUGGUGAUGAGGUGUGGAAUUGUAUUUUUUUUUUUUUUAAGAGAGAGUGAAAUAUCUCUUCUCAUUUUGGUUGUAUUAGAAUCAUUCCUACGUGAAUGCAGUAUUCACAGACGCAUCAAAAUAAGGAGGAAAUUCCUUUGCAAAAAUGACCCAAAGUAGGACUACAGAUGCACAACUGUUCUUUGUGCAGGGAUGGCUCCUCAUGUAAAAAACAGUGAAUUCAAAUUCAUUCAAAAGAACUAUGCUUUGUAUUAAGGGGUUUCUGUUGACAUUUUCAAAAAUUAAGACCUUCUGCUGAAAUAUCAGAGUAUCUCCCCAAUGUGUGAAGUUUAGGUGUAACUCCAAGCUUUACGUUUAGAUUGCAUGUUCUCAAAACAAGUUUUGUAAAGCUUACAAUUCAAAUGAUAGCCGUAAAUGUGUAAUGAAUAAAAAAAAACAUUCAUAUGUGCAUACUAAGUUCAGGUUCCCUGUUUUAAAUCACAAAGUGUGGAUUCUCCCUGUAAAUGUAAAAUUGUCAUGCAGGGAAGAAUGUAAAAAUAAUUGUCCACACAUUCUGACUGGUGUCUUUACCAAUUAGUGUGAAGGAGCCAAUUCAACCAUUCCAUGAUUAUUUUGUCUUGCUUUUCUCCAGUGUUACAGUAUUUUUAUAAAUGGUUCUUUAUUAUAAGGAGACAACCCUCCCCCAUAAUUCCAAAAGAAAGAUUUACAUAUUUUUGCAGAACUGAAACGCACAUGUGGAUAAUAUAGGAAAAUAGGAAUGUCUCAAAAUAGGAAAAAGUAAUACCAUGAUGUGACGGCUUUCUUGAUUUGUACUUCCAGAGUGCAACUUUAGAAAGUUGAAGAAAUGGAGACACUAGAUAGAAUGGUUGGUCACAGGUGGGACUAGAAUGCAGGUAAGUGUAAGCACAUUAUUUCCUUUAGCAGAGAUGCUCUUCUCUCUUGAAAAUCUAUUUGAAACUUUUGGUAUAUUUAAGCUAUCACAUUUUAUUUCAAAUUUUGCUUUACUGAAUGACUAGCUACAUACAAUAGUUGUAAUAGGAGAAGAAGCUGUGUAUUUAGUAGAGAUAUAAAUUCUGAUGAUAAAUGUUAUAAUCUGGUUUGAUCUUGGCAUGAGGUUUACUAAAGGAAAACUCUUAAACAUUAUUUUCUGUUCAGGUACAUACACAGAAAUAGAAAUAUCAUAUUCUCCUGCUAAAAGUUUUACUUUUAUUUUGGAAGGUUAUCAGAAGCGUUUUUGUCUGAACUACAGAUGAUGGCCCACACAGUUGGUCUGGUUUGAGGAUUUUAUUAAUUUCUAGAGAAUGCUCAAAUGAAAAUACCAGCCGGUGCUUCAUAGGUGUUCACUCCGUUUUUAAAAAUAUAGUCAUCAGGUGGGAAUGUAGGCACUGAAACAUUACUUCAGUUUGUAACCUAAGUCGUUAGUAGUCUUGAUAUUUUCAGUAUUUUUAAUUCAUUUUAUUUUUACCAUAUUCCCAUCUUCUGUUUUCACAGAGGCUGUAUAAUUGAUAAGCCUUCAAUUAUAUUCUAUAUAAGAAGUCAAAUAAAAUAUUUCAUAUUCCUCUAUGGUUAGGUGAUCUGAAUCAUGGCUUAAAUCAGAUGGACUGUCAGUUAGAGGACCUAGACUAUGGCUGGGAUCUCAAAUGCAUUUCACAAAUAUACUUGCAGUAACUAAAACCUUGAAAUUAAAAACAAAAACUGAGGAAGCAGUAAUCAGUUAUUAAAAUACUGCAUUUUUGGAAUUAGAUAUAUUCUUUAUAAUAAGACUGUGAUAGAUUGGUCUUUUCUCUUUGUCUUAUUAUUUACUUGAUCCAUGCUUUUGCCUCACAGCAAAGUAUGAUGGUCUAUCUGACUUUCUUUUUUUUAAAAGAUUUUAUUUAUUUAUUCAUUCAUGAGAGAUGGGGGGCGGGGGGCGGGGGCAGAUACAUAGGCAGAGAGAAAGAAACAGGCUCCAUGCAGGGAGCCCGAUGUGGGACUCAAUCCGGGAUUCCAGGAUCACACCCUGGGCUGAAGGCAGGCAUUCAACCGCUGAGCUACCCAGGCAUCCCAUCUAUCUGACUUUCUAUGAACUCUCUCUUGGAACUCAAAAUUCUGCAAAUGUCUGCAGAUAGCAAAAUGAACAAAUAGAUACUGGAGAUUUUUGUUAAUAGCUGCCUCCAGAUUAUGACAUACCUACCACCUUACAGUGUUUAUCAGUUUGAGGAACCUUUCUACAGUUAUAAAACCAGAAGAAUGAUGAUUGAUUUUGAGAGUUUUAUUUAUAUGGAGCUAAAUUUUAAAAAACCCCAUCAGCUCUAAGGUUCUAAUAAGACUUAGAGUCUCUGCAUAUAGUAACUAUCUAGAUCCACUUUAUUUAUUUUUUUCAUUUUUUGGGGGGAAGAGCUGCUAUUCCUGAUUUAAAAUGUUCAGUUACCCCUAUGUAGCAUUUGAAUGUUUUGGAGAUUCUAGUUAUGUUAGUGUCUAAACUGUGCUGCCUAGGAUGCUGCAUAAGCAUAGAAGGUACAUAAAGUUUUUGUUAAUAUGUAUAUCAGAGUUUUAGUUUGAAAACUAUGAUCAUUGAACAAGUGGUGCCUAGCUCAGUACCCUACUUCUUAUGCACUGAAUCAGGUCUUGUCAAAUGACUUCAGACAUUGCACAGUUCUCAACUAUGCCUCCCGAAGCAAUAAAUGGAGACAAAUUAUAUAUUUAUUUUGAGUUCAUUUUAUUAAGUUCUUAUUCUUUGUAAAUGGUUCUGUACGAUGACUGUAUGAUUAAUUGGAAUGCUUCCUUCUCCAGGCAUAUCAGGGAAUAUAGUAUGAGAGGGAGGUAUUAAUAAGGUGAUAUAAUUAGAUUGAGGGCAGUUUUGUUGGUUGGUCAUUUGGACUGGCAUUAUGCCGGUUGAGUUUAAAAGGCUAAAUCCUUUUCACCAUAACAUACUAGCUUGAGCUUGAAAGCUUUCUUUCAAUUUUUGUUAUAUUUCCCUAUAAACUGAUCAAUUUUUGACAGGUAAGACAAGAUAUGUUAAUCACUCAGGGUUGGAUGUAUUGGGUGAUAUAUAUAUUUAAAAUUAUUUAGAUUUGGACUUGAAGAGAAAAUGACUUGGCAAAUUCCAUGAAAAAACAAAACCAGAACCAGGAAAAAAACCCUCUUCCUUUGUUUACGUCUCAAUUUAUCAUUUUCUGUAAUGUUUUUGUAAUUCAGAAAUGCAGCCUUCUUCAGCAUAACCUCCUGCCCUCCUCCUGCCCUCCUCUGGCCCCCAAAAUGUCAUUGGAUUCUAUCCAGUGGGAAGAUAACACGGGCUAUGAGAAGUUAAAAAAAAUGUGGCACCAACUCUGCUGACUCCUUAUAUUCUCCUAAGUGGGCUUUAAGCCAUUCGUUGACAUUUGUUUUUAAACAUCCUGUAAGCUGUGCCAUUUUAUCAAAUUAAAUUAAAAGCACAAUAUAUUCUCUUACAAUGAUGGAACCUGAGUCAGGACUUCCAAGUUUGUGUUGUUAUUAAUAUUAUUUUGCUUUUUACAAAGGAAUUAAAAUUUUUUUCAUCACACCUGGCA